rnacentral:rRNA from 1 species
AUUAAACGCUGGCGGCAUGCCUUACACAUGCAAGUCGAACGGUAGCGCGGGGCAACCUGGCGACGAGUGGCGAACAGGUGAGUAAAGCAUCGGAACGUGCCCUGGAAUGGGGGAUAACGUAGCGAAAGUUACGCUAAUACCGCAUAUUCUGUGAGCAGGAAAGCAGGGGAUCGCAAGACCUUGCGUUCUGGGAGUGGCCGAUGUCGGAUUAGCUAGUUGGUGGGGUAAAAGCCUACCAAGGCGACGAUCCGUAGCGGGUCUGAGAGGAUGAUCCGCCACACUGGGACUGAGACACGGCCCAGACUCCUACGGGAGGCAGCAGUGGGGAAUUUUGGACAAUGGGCGGAAGCCUGAUCCAGCCAUGCCGCGUGAGUGAAGAAGGCCUUCGGGUUGUAAAGACUCUUUCAGUGGGAAGAUAAUGACUGUACCCACA